rnacentral:rRNA from 1 species
CAAGGCGACGAUCCCUAGCUGGUCUGAGAGGAUGACCAGCCACACUGGAACUGAGACACGGUCCAGACUCCUACGGGAGGCAGCAGUGGGGAAUAUUGCACAAUGGGCGCAAGCCUGAUGCAGCCAUGCCGCGUGUAUGAAGAAGGCCUUCGGGUUGUAAAGUACUUUCAGCGGGGAGGAAGGUGUUGUGGUUAAUAACCGCAGCAAUUGACGUUACCCGCAGAAGAAGCACCGGCUAACUCCGUGCCAGCAGCCGCGGUAAUACGGAGGGUGCAAGCGUUAAUCGGAAUUACUGGGCGUAAAGCGCACGCAGGCGGUCUGUCAAGUCGGAUGUGAAAUCCCCGGGCUCAACCUGGGAACUGCAUUCGAAACUGGCAGGCUUGAGUCUUGUAGAGGGGGGUAGAAUUCCAGGUGUAGCGGUG